GCCAAACUGACCUAGUUUACACUCAAAUUACUUUACCAAACUGCAACUGAAAGUUGUACACCAUGGAAAUGAAGAGGAAAAUCAUGGCGAGAGGAGACCAAGAUCGGCUCAGCGAUUUAUCCGACCCGAUUCUACUACACAUCCUCUCUAUGUUGCCGAACAGUAAAGCAGUUGUAAGAACCAGCGUAUUAUCCAGAAAAUGGAGACUUCUUUGGAUGUCUGUUCCAAUAUCACUCGAUUUCGACUUCCCAAUUCAUGGAAGCGAAAAUGACAAUCUCUUUUACUUGGCUUCCACCUAUAGAGAGCUUUAUUAUUGGAGGAAUUGCGAGAAAAUCCAGAGAUUCAGACUCUGGCGCCUUAGGUACGAGGAUCGUUUUGCUAAAGAUAUUGAUUUAUGGGUACAUUUUGCAAUUAAAGUUGCUAAUGUUGAAAGUUUUGCACUUGGAAUUAUCGAUACAAAUGACCAAAGAUAUGAGUUUCCUCAAUUUGCAUAUAAAAAUACUAAAUUGAGGGAUUUGGCUUUAUGGUACUGCCAACUCAACCCUACUGGUAGUGUUAAUUGGAAUAGUCUCGUUUCUCUUUCACUUGGGUCCUUGCCUUUGACUGAUGGUGUAAUGGAAGAGGUAUUAUCUGGUUGCCCUAACUUGGAGUGCUUGGAACUGGAUUGUGUUUCAGGCAUUCAUCGUUUGGAAAUCAGCUCUAUGAAGCUGAGAGAAUUGAGUAUACAAGAUUACAUAAAUGAGAAUCCUGACCUUUGGCUCGAAAUAUUAGCCCCGUAUAUUCAAAAUUUGGAACUUUGGGGAGACAGCAGUGAGAUACGCAUCCGACAGAGAAAUGUGGCUUCACUUGUCACUGCAGUCCUACAUUUAAAUUUCGGCAACUUGGAGAAGGAGUUUAGUUAUUUGAAGGAACUUCUUGACUGUGUUUGCCAUGUCGAGAAUCUUGAAUUGGGUCCUUGGUGCAUCGAGGUUUAUUCAUACUCUUCAGUAUCCAUAAUUCGGUUUUUUUUUUGUUUGGGACUUUUUAUUUGCAAUGGAAUCAUCAGUUUAAUAACAUUAACAAAUCCAUUACUUAGGAUAAUCUGAUAACUGAAUUAAGUACGAAAGAAUUACAUUCUCAUGGCCAAUUUGGUUGGACAGUGUGAGGUGAUUGAAAUAAGACCUUUUGAACUAAAUUUUAGAUGAUGACAUGUGAGAGUAAAGUGUUUGCAAUGGAAAGAACAACAUGUUAAAUUGGGAUUGUUUAUAGUGAUCAUACUCUUUUAAGUCCUGUGAAUAGUUUUUUUGAAAUGUUCAAAAGUCCAAUUUUGGAUUUCCAAACCAAACUUGAACACUUUGAUGUGGUAAAAAGCUGUCGCAUAGUCCAAGUUGUUUUUACGAAUUAUUCAACUAUUUCCAUUUCAUUUGUUAAAUAUGUCACAUUUCCUUGUUAUGGCAAAUUCUGGUUUAACUAUUUGGUUUAUAAGUGCCUGUCCAUAUUGGAGUUGAAAGGGUGGCAGUCUCCGCCAUCAAGCCGGAAAUUCUUAAAGCUUAACGCAGGCUUGGAAUCAUUGGACUUCCCUGGAAUUUGUAGCUUUCUACAGAGUUCAUCAGAUCUUGAGACAUUGGUUAUUGAGACAUUGGUUAUUGACUGGGACGAUGACAGACCAAGAGACCUACUGUCAAGGUACUAAGACGAGGAUGGACAGGUCAAGAGGUUUGAGACACAUAAUUUUAAUUGCUCAUUGCCACAU